rnacentral:tRNA from 1 species
GUCUCAGUAGCGUUGUGGUUAACGCACAGCUCUGGUUAGGCGCGAGACGCGGGUUUGAAUCCCGUCUGAAAUG